rnacentral:rRNA from 1 species
UACGUAGGGGGCUAGCGUUGUUCGGAGUUACUGGGCGUAAAGCGUGCGUAGGCGGUGCCAUAAGUCUGUUGUGAAAUCUCCCGGCUUAACUGGGAGGGUGCGGUGGAAACUGUGGUGCUGGAGUGUGGGAGAGGUAGGCGGAAUUCCUGGUGUAGCGGUGAAAUGCGUAGAUAUCAGGAGGAACACCUGUGGUGUAGACGGCUUACUGGACCAUGACUGACGCUGAGGCACGAAAGCGUGGGGAGCAAACAGG